AAGUGUGUGUCCAGCUGUGGGCAAGUGCUGUGUGUGGGGAGAAGUGUGUGUUCCCCAGAUGUGGACAGGUGUGUGUGUGUGGGGAGAAGUGUGUGUCCAGCUGUGGGAAGGUGCUGUGUGUGGGGAGACGUGUGUGUCCAGCUGUGGACAGAUGUGUGAGUGGGGAGAAGUGUGUGUGUCCAGCUGUGGACAGGUGCUUUGUGUGGAGAGAAGUGUGUGUCCAGCUGUGGACAGGUGUGUGUGUGGGGAGACGUGUAGGUGUCCAGCUGUGGGCGGGUGCUGUAUGUGGGAUGACGUGUGUGUGUGGGGAGACGUGUAGGUGUCCAGCUGUGGGCGGGUGCUGUAUGUGGGAUGACGUGUGUGUUCAGCUGUGGACAGGUGUGGGGAGAAUUGUGUGUCCAGCUGUACACAGGUGUGCGUGUGGGGAGAAGUGUGUGUUCCCCUGCUGUGGGCAGAUGCUGAGUGUGGGGAGAAGUGUGUGUCCAGCUGUGGACAGGUGUGUGUGGGGAGAAGUUUGUGUCCAGCUGUGGACAUGUGGUGUGUGUGGGGAGAAGUGUGUGUUCCCCUGCUGUGGGCAGAUGCUGAGUGUGGGGAGAAGUGUGUGUCCAGCUGUGGACAGGUGUGUGUGGGGAGAAGUUUGUGUCCAGCUGUGGACGUGUGGUGUGUGUGGGGAGAAGUGUGUGUUCCCCAGCUGUGGACAGGUGCUGUGUGUGGAGAGAAGUGUGUGUCCAGCUGUGGACAGGUGCUGUGUGGGGAGAAGUGUGUGUUCCCCAGCUGUGGAUAGGUGUGUGUGAGUGGGGAGAAGUGUGUGUGUCCAGCUGUGGACAGGUGCUGUGUGUGGGCAGACGUGUGUGUCCAGCUGUGGGCAGGUAUGUGUGUGGGGAGAAGUGUGUGUCCAGCUGUGGACAAGUGCUGUGUGUGGGGAGAAGUGUGUGUUCCCCAGCUGUGGACAGGUGCUGUGUGUGGGCAGACGUGUGUGUCCAGCUGUGGGUAGGUGUGUGUGUUUAUUGUCUCGUAGCAGUGUGGCCAGCUACUCAUGUUUGGUAUCCACUAGUGUAGCAUUGUUUUCAUUCCUUCAGAUUCAGUGCCUGUGUGUCCUUACAGGUCAGCAUGAAGCGAGUUAUUUUUCUCAUCUGUUCAGGGACUGAAUUGUGUGACCCACUGCAUUUGGAUUCAAGGUAACCAGAGGUCAGGAAGGACUUACGUGCCGGCUGCUGUUUGUGUUCUGGAUGUAGACGUUUUUCCUCCUCUUUUCCUUUGUGGUUGAGGCCUUUCUCUGGAGUGUGGUUGACCCCUUGCCUUUUAUUUGUAGUGUCCGUAUCACGAUUUGUUGCUUUGUGGUCGCCAUGGGACUCACACAAGCACCAUACGGUUAUAAAGUGACUCUCGCAGAUGUAACUUGCCUUUGAUCACAAAGGACAGACACACAGUGAAACUCAGUGUUGCAGCUCCAUUUCCCCUCAAUGUUGACUUUUUAUGUCGCAAUUUCCUUUUUAUAUUGCCUCGCCCUUGACAAGUGUCGCAGUUAUAAUCCCUUUUAUACUUCUGUAUCUUAGCCUUCUCAUUAAGGAUAUAAGUGGGUUACACUUCACAGUUAUUUGUGGGGUGGCACUGUGGGAUAGUGGGUAAAGCCGCUGCCUGCAGUACCGGCAUCCCAUCUGAGCCUCCCAGGUUUGACUCCUGGCUGCUCCACUUCUGAUCCAGCUCCCUGCUAAUGUGCCCGGGGUAAGCAGCAGAGGAUGGCCCAGUGCCUGGGGCCCUGGUACCCACAUGGCAGACCUGGAGGAAGCUCCUGGCUCCUGCUUUUGGCCUGGUCCAUAUCCGGCCAUUGUGGCUGUUUGGGGAGUGAACCAGUGGACAGAAGAUCUCUUGGUGUCUGUCUGUCUGUCUCUUUCUGUAACUCUGCCUUCCAAAUAAAUAAAUCUUGAAACAUUUUAUUUCUUAGUUU
ensembl:lncRNA